rnacentral:rRNA from 1 species
UUUGGUUAAGUUAGAAAGGGCGCACGGUGGAUGCCUUGACACUAGGAGUCGAUGAAGGACGGGACUAACGCCGAUAUGCUUCGGGGAGCUGUAAGUAAGCUUUGAUCCGAAGAUUUCCGAAUGGGGAAACCCACCAUACGUAAUGGUAUGGUAUCCUUAUCUGAAUACAUAGGGUAAGGAAGACAGACCCAGGGAACUGAAACAUCUAAGUACCUGGAGGAAGAGAAAGCAAAUGCGAUUUCCUGAGUAGCGGCGAGCGAAACGGAACAUAGCCCAAACCAAGAGGCUUGCCUCUUGGGGUUGUAGGACAUUCUAUACGGAGUUACAAAGGAACGAGGUAGACGAAGCGACCUGGAAAGGUCCGUCGUAGAGGGUAACAACCCCGUAGUCGAAACUUCGUUCUCUCUUGAAUGUAUCCUGAGUACGGCGGAACACGUGAAAUUCCGUCGGAAUCUGGGAGGACCAUCUCCCAAGGCUAAAUACUCCCUAGUGAUCGAUAGUGAACCAGUACCGUGAGGGAAAGGUGAAAAGCACCCCGGAAGGGGAGUGAAAGAGAUCCUGAAACCGUGUGCCUACAAAUAGUCAGAGCCCGUUAAUGGGUGAUGGCGUGCCUUUUGUAGAAUGAACCGGCGAGUUACGAUCCCGUGCGAGGUUAAGCUGAAGAGGCGGAGCCGCAGCGAAAGCGAGUCUGAAUAGGGCGUUUAGUACGUGGUCGUAGACCCGAAACCAGGUGAUCUACCCAUGUCCAGGGUGAAGUUCAGGUAACACUGAAUGGAGGCCCGAACCCACGCACGUUGAAAAGUGCGGGGAUGAGGUGUGGGUAGCGGAGAAAUUCCAAUCGAACCUGGAGAUAGCUGGUUCUCCCCGAAAUAGCUUUAGGGCUAGCCUUAAGUGUAAGAGUCUUGGAGGUAGAGCACUGAUUGGACUAGGGGUCCUCAUCGGAUUACCGAAUUCAGUCAAACUCCGAAUGCCAAUGACUUAUCCUUAGGAGUCAGACUGCGAGUGAUAAGAUCCGUAGUCAAAAGGGAAACAGCCCAGACCGCCAGCUAAGGUCCCAAAGUGUGUAUUAAGUGGAAAAGGAUGUGGAGUUGCUUAGACAACUAGGAUGUUGGCUUAGAAGCAGCCACCAUUUAAAGAGUGCGUAAUAGCUCACUAGUCGAGUGACUCUGCGCCGAAAAUGUACCGGGGCUAAAUACACCACCGAAGCUGCGGAUUGAUACCAAUGGUAUCAGUGGUAGGGGAGCGUUCUAAGGACAGUGAAGUCAGACCGUAAGGACUGGUGGAGUGCUUAGAAGUGAGAAUGCCGGUAUGAGUAGCGAAAGACGGGUGAGAAUCCCGUCCACCGAAUGCCUAAGGUUUCCUGAGGAAGGCUCGUCCGCUCAGGGUUAGUCAGGACCUAAGCCGAGGCCGACAGGCGUAGGCGAUGGACAACAGGUUGAUAUUCCUGUACCACCUCUUUAUCGUUUGAGCAAUGGAGGGACGCAGAAGGAUAGAAGAAGCGUGCGAUUGGUUGUGCACGUCCAAGCAGUUAGGCUGAUAAGUAGGCAAAUCCGCUUAUCAUGAAGGCUGAGCUGUGAUGGGGAAGCUCCUUAUGGAGCGAAGUCUUUGAUUCCCCGCUGCCAAGAAAAGCUUCUAGCGAGAUAAAAGGUGCCUGUACCGCAAACCGACACAGGUAGGCGAGGAGAGAAUCCUAAGGUGUGCGAGAGAACUCUGGUUAAGGAACUCGGCAAAAUGACCCCGUAACUUCGGGAGAAGGGGUGCUUUCUUAACGGAAAGCCGCAGUGAAUAGGCCCAAGCGACUGUUUAGCAAAAACACAGCUCUCUGCGAAGCCGUAAGGCGAAGUAUAGGGGGUGACACCUGCCCGGUGCUGGAAGGUUAAGGAGAGGGGUUAGCGUAAGCGAAGCUCUGAACUGAAGCCCCAGUAAACGGCGGCCGUAACUAUAACGGUCCUAAGGUAGCGAAAUUCCUUGUCGGGUAAGUUCCGACCCGCACGAAAGGUGUAACGAUUUGGGCACUGUCUCAACCAGAGACUCGGUGAAAUUAUAGUACCUGUGAAGAUGCAGGUUACCCGCGACAGGACGGAAAGACCCCGUGGAGCUUUACUGUAGCCUGAUAUUGAAUUUUGGUACAUUUUGUACAGGAUAGGCGGGAGCCUUUGAAACCGGAGCGCUAGCUUCGGUGGAGGCGCUGGUGGGAUACCGCCCUGAAUGUAUUGAAAUUCUAACCUACGGGUCUUAUCGACCCGGGAGACAGUGUCAGGUGGGCAGUUUGACUGGGGCGGUCGCCUCCUAAAGUGUAACGGAGGCGCCCAAAGGUUCCCUCAGAAUGGUUGGAAAUCAUUCGUAGAGUGCAAAGGCAUAAGGGAGCUUGACUGCGAGACCUACAAGUCGAGCAGGGACGAAAGUCGGGCUUAGUGAUCCGGUGGUUCCGCAUGGAAGGGCCAUCGCUCAACGGAUAAAAGCUACCCCGGGGAUAACAGGCUUAUCUCCCCCAAGAGUCCACAUCGACGGGGAGGUUUGGCACCUCGAUGUCGGCUCAUCGCAUCCUGGGGCUGUAGUCGGUCCCAAGGGUUGGGCUGUUCGCCCAUUAAAGCGGUACGCGAGCUGGGUUCAGAACGUCGUGAGACAGUUCGGUCCCUAUCCGUCGUGGGCGUAGGAAAUUUGAGAGGAGCUGUCCUUAGUACGAGAGGACCGGGAUGGACGCACCGCUGGUGUACCAGUUGUUCUGCCAAGGGCAUAGCUGGGUAGCUAUGUGCGGAAGGGAUAAGUGCUGAAAGCAUCUAAGCAUGAAGCCCCCCUCAAGAUGAGAUUUCCCAUAGCGUAAGCUAGUAAGAUCCCUGAAAGAUGAUCAGGUUGAUAGGUUCGAGGUGGAAGCAUGGUGACAUGUGGAGCUGACGAAUACUAAUAGAUCGAGGACUUAACCAUAUAA